UACGUAGGGGCCGAGCGUUGUCCGGAGUUACUGGGCGUAAAGGGCGCGUAGGCGGCCUUCUAAGUCAGACGUGAAAUCCCCCGGCUUAACCUGGGAACUGCGUCUGAUACUGGGAGGCUUGAGUAUGGGAGAGGGAUGUAGAAUUCCAGGUGUAGCGGUGAAAUGCGUAGAUAUCUGGAGGAACACCGGUGGCGAAGGCGGCAUCCUGGACCGAGAUUGACGCUGAGGCGCGAAAGCCAGGGGAGCAAACGGG
rnacentral:rRNA from 1 species